UGAUAAAAUUAAUUUAUAGAUUAAAAUAAAUAAACGUAUAUAAAGGAUGUCUAGGUAAUUAUAGGCGAUGACAGACGCUAAAAUGCGAUAAUCUUUUAAGGUAUCUUAAUAGGGAAACCUACUAAUUAAAAUUAGUGUAUAUAAUACGCAAACUGGAUGAACUGAAACAUCUAAGUAAUCCAAGGAAAAGAAAUCAAAUGAGAUUCUCAUAGUAGUGGCGAGCGAAAUGAGAAAAGCCCAAAAAAAAAAAUAAAACUUUAAAAUAAUUUUGAAUAAUUAACAUAAAAAGUAAUAGUCUUUUAUUUAAAUAAUUUUUUAUUUUUUUAAUUAUGAGUAUGUUUAGACACGUGAAAUCUUAACAGAAUAAAGGGGGACCAUCCUCUAAGGCUAAAUACUAAUAAUUAACCGAUAGUGAACUAGUACCGUGAGGGAAAGAUGAAAUAGAACCUUUAAAUAGGAGUGAAAUAGAACCUGAAAUUAUAUACGUAAAAGCAAUAGAAACUGAAAAGUAACUAUAUACCUUUUGUAUAAUGGGUCAGCGACUUAUUUUUUUUAGCAAGCUUAAUUUAAAGUAGGCGCAGAGAAAUCUAGUCUGAAAGGGCGAAAGUUAUAAAAAAUAGACCCGAAACCGAGCGAUCUAUCUAUAAACAGGUUGAAGGUAAAGUAAAAAUUACUGAAGGACCGAACUGGUAUCUGUUGCAAAAGAUUCAGAUGAUUUGUGGAUAGGGGUGAAAGGCUAAUCAAGCUCGGAGAUAGCUGGUUCUCCUCGAAAGCUAUUUAGGUAGCGCCUUAUAAGUAAAAAUUAAUGGUAAAGCACUGUUUUGAAUAAGAUUAUUCUGAAUCAUAACAAACUAUGAAUAUUAAUUUUUUUAUUAUAGGAGACACACUAUGGGUGAUAACAUCCAUAGUGAAAAGGGAAACAACCCAGACCAUAAAUUAAGGUCCCUAAAUCUUAUUUAAGUGGAAAAUGAAUUUAAUAAUCUUUGACAAUCAAAAGGUGGGCUUAGAAGCAGCCAUCCUUUAAAGAAAGCGUAAUAGCUCAUUGAUAUAGAUGAUUUAUUCGUAAAAUUUAACGGGGCUAAAAUAAGUACCGAAAUUAUGGACAUUAUUAUUGUGGUAGAGGAGCGUUGUGUAAGUUAAAGAAGAUUUAUUUUAAAAUAAAUUGGAAACAUCACAAGUGCGAAUGCUGACAUAAGUAACAAAAUGAAAUGUGAAAAUCAUUUCCGCCGAAAAAUUAAGGUUUUCUAUUCAACGAUGAUCGAAAUAGAGUUAGUCGUAACCUAAGAUGAGGUUGAAAAACGUAGUCGAUGGAAAAAAGAUUAAUAUUUCUUUACCAUUAAUAUUAAUUAUGGAAUGUCUUAAUUUGUUUUUUGAUCCUAAAAAAGGAAUAUUAGGUUUAAAAUUAAAAGAAUAAUUAACCAAGUAAAUCUAGUUAAUUUUAUUUAAUUAAUAAAAAAAAAUCAAUAAAAUUAAAUUAACAAGAAAAAUUUCUAAUAUAAUACAUAUUAAUGUACGUACCGUAAACCGACACAGGUAAUUAAGUAGAGUAUACUAAGGCGUAUGAGAUAAUCUAAAUGAAGGAACUAGGCAAAAUAGUAUCGUAACUUUUGGAGAAGAUACACUAGAAUAUUUGUAAAUUUUUUUAUAAAGAACUAGUCUAAGAGGUAAGGUGACUGCAACUGUUUAUUAAAAACACAGCACUCUGCUAACGUGCAAACGGAUGUAUAGGGUGUGACGCCUGCCCGGUGCUGGUAGGUUAAUUGAGAAUGUUAAUAUAAAAAUGAAGCAUUUAAUAAAAGCCCCAGUAAACGGCGGCCGUAACUAUAACGGUCCAAAGGUAGCGAAAUUCCUUGUCGGGUAAGUUCCGACCUGCACGAAUGGCGUAAUGAUGGUCACGCUGUCUCCAUUUAGAACUCAGUGAAAUUGAAUUUGCUGUGAAGAUGCAGUGUAUUUACGGCUAGACGGAAAGACCCCGUGAACCUUUACUAUAACUUCACAUUGAAUAUUGGAAAUUUUUGUGUAGGAUAACUGGGAGAUGUUAAUCUAUAAAUCCAAGUUUAUAAGUAGUCGACCUUGAAAUACCAGUCUAAAAUUUUUGAUAUUCUAAUAUAUAUUUUUUGUAAUCCAUUAUAUAAAAAAUGUGUGGUGGGUAGUUUGACUGGGGCGGUCUCCUCCUAAAAAGUAACGGAGGAGUACAAAGGUACUCUCAAUACGUUUGGAAAACGUAUGUUGAGCAUAAGAGCAUAUGAGUGCUUAACUGUAAGAUAGACAUAUCAAACAGAUACGAAAGUAGGUUCUAGUGAUCCGAUAAUUCUGUAUGGAAAGGUUAUCGCUCAACGAAUAAAAGGUACUCCGGGGAUAACAGGCUAAUACUGCCCAAGAGUCCAUAUCGACGGCAGUGUUUGGCACCUCGAUGUCGGCUCAUCACAUCCUGGGGCUGGAGUUGGUCCCAAGGGUAUGGCUGUUCGCCAUUUAAAGUGGUACGCGAGCUGGGUUUAGAACGUCGUGAGACAGUUCGGUCCCUAUCUACCGUAAAUGUAGAGAUUUUGAAAGAAUCUAUCUUUAGUACGAGAGGACCAAGAUGGUAAAACCAAUGGUGUUCCGAUUGUUAUACCAAUAGCAUAGUCGGUUAGCUAAGUUUUAAAUGAUAACUACUGAAAGCAUAUAAGUAGGAAACAUAUCUUAAAAAAAAUCUCCAAAGAGUUUGUUGCUCUUCUUAAGAUAACUUAAAUAUAAUAAGUUUAAUAGAUACAAUGUGUAAAAAUAGUAAUAUUUUAGCUAAUGUAUACUAAUUUAUCGUGAGUUUUUAAUCUAUA
rnacentral:rRNA from 1 species